rnacentral:rRNA from 1 species
AAACAUCGCCUCCUGAUUUCCCAAUAAUAGGAGGUCCCGCCUGCCCUGUGAUUAUAAAUUUAACGGCCGCGGUAUUUUGACCGUGCAAAGGUAGCGCAAUCACUUGUCUUUUAAAUGAAGACCUGUAUGAAUGGCAUAACGAGGGCUUGACUGUCUCCCUUUCCUAGUCAAUGAAAUUGAUUUUUCCGUGCAGAAGCGGGAAUGAACACAUAAGACGAGAAGACCCUGUGGAGCUUUAGACAAUAAGCGGGUCCAGUAAAGAGUGCCAAAACUACCGGCCUAAACAAAAGGAAAAUCCGCUUUGCUGUCUUUGGUUGGGGCGACCGCGGGGGAACACACAGCCCCCAUGUGGAAUUUGAAUACCAUUCUUUAAACGAAGAGCGUCAGCUCAACGCAACAGAACAUCUGACCUAUCAUGACCCGGCAUAUAUGCCGAUCAACGAAAACAGUUACCCCAGGGAUAACAGCGCAAUCCUCUCCCAGAGCCCAUAUCGACAAGAGGGUUUACGACCUCGAUGUUGGAUCAGGACAUCCUAACGGUGCAGCCGCUGUUAAGGGUUCGUUUGUUCAACGAUAAAGU